rnacentral:rRNA from 1 species
UACGUAGGGGGCAAGCGUUAUCCGGAUUUACUGGGUGUAAAGGGGGCGCAGACGGAAAUGCAAGCCAGAUGUGAAAGCCUGAGGCUCAGCCUUAGGAGUGCAUUUGGAACUGUGUAUCUAGAGUACUGGAGAGGUAAGCGGAAUUCCUGGUGUAGCGGUGAAAUGCGUAGAUAUCAGGAAGAACACCGGUGGCGAAGGCGGCUCACUGGACAGAGACUGACGUUGAGGCCGAAAGCGUGGGGAGCAAACA